GUCAAGCCGCUGCACCAGACCCCAGAGCAGUUGCAACAGCAAGGUCACUGUUUCCUUUAGGUCCGACCCGACCCGCUCCUUGGCCAGGUACGCGCGGCCUGCAGGAGGAAUGAUAUGCUAUGGCUCGUCGGUUGCGUGGCGCGGGAAGUCACGGGAAGGUGUUUGCGCAACUCACCAUCUGGACGCAUCCCGUCCGCAGCAUGUACCCCAGGGGUCUGCCAGAUGGGGGCGGCGUGUGCGGCAUAGGGCGGAGGUGCCGCGCCAACCGCUACCAGUACCGCCGGUGCCGACGCCUCCAGGAACCGCACCACCAAGCGC
rnacentral:lncRNA from 1 species